rnacentral:rRNA from 1 species
UGGGGAAUAUUGCACAAUGGGCGAAAGCCUGAUCCAGCCAUGCCGCGUGUGUGAAGAAGGUCUUCGGAUUGUAAAGCACUUUAAGUUGGGAGGAAGGGCAUUAACCUAAUACGUUAGUGUUUUGACGUUACCGACAGAAUAAGCACCGGCUAACUCUGUGCCAGCAGCCGCGGUAAUACAGAGGGUGCAAGCGUUAAUAGGAAUUACUGGGCGUAAAGCGCGCGUAGGUGGUUUGUUAAGUUGGAUGUGAAAUCCCCGGGCUCAACCUGGGAACUGCAUUCAAAACUGACUGACUAGAGUAUGGUAGAGGGUGGUGGAAUUUCCUGUGUAGCGGUGAAAUGCGUAGAUAUAGGAAGGAACACCAGUGGCGAAGGCGACCACCUGGACUAAUACUGACACUGAGGUGCGAAAGCGUGGGGAGCAAACA